GACGAACGCUGGCGGCGUGCUUAACACAUGCGAGUCGAACGGAAAGGCCCUGCUUUUGUGGGGUGCUCGAGUGGCGAACGGGUGAGUAACACGUGAGUAACCUGCCCUUGACUUUGGGAUAACUUCAGGAAACUGGGGCUAAUACCGGAUAGGAGCUCCUGCUGCAUGGUGGGGGUUGGAAAGUUUCGGCGGUUGGGGAUGGACUCGCGGCUUAUCAGCUUGUUGGUGGGGUAGUGGCUUACCAAGGCUUUGACGGGUAGCCGGCCUGAGAGGGUGACCGGCCACAUUGGGACUGAGAUACGGCCCAGACUCCACGGGAGGCAGCAGUGGGGAAUAUUGCACAAUGGGCGGAAGCCUGAUGCAGCAACGCCGCGUGCGGGAUGACGGCCUUCGGGUUGUAAACCGCUUUCGCCUGUGACGAAGCGUGAGUGACGGUAAUGGGUAAAGAAGCACCGGCUAACUACGUG
rnacentral:rRNA from 1 species